CCCGCUUUUCUUUAUCCUCACCUCACCACCGUCUCCGUCCGCUCUCCGGCCUGAUCUCCGCUCGCUCCGGCUCUCACAGAAACUAGGGUUUAUUGCCGACGCGAUGCACCGUGCACCCCGCCGCCAUCGAUCGGUACUCCGGAACCCUCGCUCUCCGGCGACGACUUCUCGCUGGCUGGGGUUCUUUCUGGUGUUUCGGUGGUGGAUUUCGAUCGAUCGGGGAUCGAUCUGAGGGCGAUGAUGGCGGUGGCGGAGGAGAAGAAGUGAGCGAGAGGGAGGCGAGGAUAGAAAGCAAGUACGAAGGACUGCGAAGAACGCGUCCAAGAAACUCCUUGCGGGCCAAGGGGAAGAGAAGGAGAAGAGGUUAAGUUGAAGAGCUGUCUGUCUUUCCUUUUCCAAUUCAAAGAAGUGUAUUCAUGGAUUAUUUCAGUCCGAUGUCUUUAUGUGCUCACUUUCAAAUAUUCUACUCCCUAGCUCUUGUACGCACACACGUGUGUGAUGUAUUUAUUCAUAAGGUUCGUAUGUGAAAGUACUUGGCUUAUGCUUUACAACUUUACUAAAUACAUGUAGAGUGAGUUCAUGUCAGCAUAAGUUUCUUCGGAAUGUCUCUGUUCAUGGUUUAAAUAUUCAAGAAUUUUCAUUAUGCAUUAUCAUGGAUCAUGCCUGAAAUUUUAUUUUAUGGUUUAUCAAUUUUGGUAUUGGGCUUCUCUGUAUAAACUUUGAUGGCUUGGAAAAUAAAAGUUUUUUGAUUCAAGCAAACCUAAAUGCAGGAGGGUGUUGGAGGGAGCAUUGGAGAGAAUGAAAGUGCAUCAUGCAAAUAGCUUUAGGAACUUAAUUACGAGAUCAAGCAGUGGAACGAAAAUGUUGAAUUAAAAAAGGGGGAAAUUUUAAAUGACAUAGCUAAGGCAGACCAGUAUAAGCAGAUGUAGUUGCUCAAGGACAGGUGAAGAAACUAGAAGGCAGCCACUUAUGCAGGUGAGAUAUGGGAGAGCUUUUGAUAUUAGUUUACACUUAUCGGCGAUGCAAGGCAUGCUUCGAUGAAAUCAUGAUAGGGGAGUCAUUGCUUGAGGGUUGCAGAUAUCAUGAGGUGAGUGAGAUAUUUGCUAUUAGCUUAUUCUUCUAAUUAAUUUGUUGAUGAUUCUUUCUUCUGGUUUGCACAUUUGAAAAACAAGGGAUCGAUAUCCAGGUUCUAAAUUUUUAAAAACACAUGUGAAUCACUUCUCUGAAGAGACCAGAUUUGUAGAUAGCCAAAUAAUGUAACGAAAAAUGAAGAAAAAGUUAAUCUUUUCUGCAAGCUAGGUUAGAAAUUUAUAAGCCUUAUUUUGCUUUGUUUACAAGUUAUUCACUUGGUAAUAGAUCAAUAGAUUUUGAAUCAUAUCCAAGAUUAAAAAAAAUCUUGCUCCAAUAAUUCAUUAAUAAAAAAUCAAUAUAUGCCACUAAAUGAUAUAUUUUAAAUACUUGAUUGAAGGUUCUGAAAGAUUCCAAUUUGGCAUGCUUUGCAGAUGGAGGAGAAAUAUUUGAAUUUUGAUUUAACAUUCAACUGUUUUGAGAGUUCUAUGUUAAGGGGAUGGGGUGGGUUGUGCUUACGGUAGUUAUGUUUUGGGUCCAGGACAUACCCUUGAUACUUUAUGUUAUUUAGACUGGAUGGCUGACCUUAGUUUACUUCUAUUGUGUUUAAGGUACCAGUUGCAAGCUUAUAGUUUAGCAGGGCCAUGGAUGUAAAGCUGAUACUCGUUAUUUAGAGGUGAAAAACAUUUAUUCAUUUGUAUUGCAUUUAUAUAUUAUGUCUGGCCAGUAAAUCUUAGUGCAUGAUAAUAUGUUCCAGAUAGGGGUCUAAAAUAGGGUAUUCUAUGGCAUUAUGCUACGCUUCAUGGCGUGCCUGUGAUAUGAUGUAGUUAUAAAUGUUGUAUGACAUAAUAGAGAUUGUAAUUUCACUUUAUCUAUUCGAAGUUGAGUAGGGUUAUGCUCUGAGUUUGAAAGGGUUAUACUUGUUCUAGAAUUUCUUUUGAGCAUGUAAUUUUGGAAAGUCCUAAAAAUUUUGGCAAUAUGUGCAAAGAGUCAUGAAUUGAUCAUAAAUUGAGUUACUUGUGUUUUAUUUCUGUUAGGAGGUUAGAAUCUUAAUUUGGAUCUUUGUACGUGCAUCUAAAGGUAUGUUUUAUUUCUGAUUUAUUCUCUGUUAUGAGGUUAGAAUCUAAGGUCAUGCUUUAUCUCUCGGGUGAUCAAGGAAGUUUUAUUUCCUUCUUCAUAUUUUUCUUCUUCUUCAUAUUUUUCUUCUUCUUCUUCUUCCUUUGCUUUAUAACAUUCCACAUCAUCCACUUGCAUAUUUAUAACUUCCUCAAUAUAUUUCUGUUCUUCUUCUGUUAUUUCUUCUUUUAUAGUUUAUUAAACACCACUAAGUAUUCAUAGAAUCAAAAUAAAUUCAUCAUUUAGCUUUAUUGUGACAGUUAGUUACCACUAAUUCCUUUGGCUAUGGUUGGUUGUGGAAUAAAGAAUCCAGAUUAGCUGGGUAAAUGCAAUAAGUUGGAGGGGAAAAGGAGGGUUAAAUUAUUUUACCUUUUGUUUGGAUUUAGUUAUUGGAGGAGAAAAGUAAAGCAUUUAUGUUGGACCUAAUUUUCUGAAAUACCUAAUCUGCCCUCUGAAGAAGUGGUUUAACCAUGUACUCAAAUGAAUGUUUGGCUGAAAGGAGGUCAAAUAAGUGGGAUAAAAGGCUCUUGUUCCUUCUUAUUCCUAGCCAAACACAGCCUUUAUCAGGGCUUUAAAUAUCAUGGUGACAGGAGCAUCCCACUGUCCUAGUGUCAGGAUGGGAUGUGUUGGGAAAUGGACAAGGACGGGUUGGGACAUCCACUGUCUUGAGUGUUGGGAUAUGUGGGGCAUUCCACAAUAUUUAAAACCUUGGCUUUUAUGUUGAGUCACCUCUUCAUCCUUUAUUGCCCAUUUAUUGUUGUUGUUUUGUUAAAAUGUUCUAUUGAGCUGUUUAUAUUUAACUUUGUCCAACCAUAUAUUCUGAAUGAUAAUAUCCCCAACUGUGCAAACCUGAAAGAAAAAAAAAGAUAUUUAAAAACAGCGCCAAUCAGACUUCACAUUGAGGAAUGUUGUCCUGUUGGUUUAUUUUCUCUGUUUGGAAGACCCCUGGAUUACGUUCUUUACAACAUUAACAUGUUGAUGAGCAUCUGUCCUAACUUGAUAAUUUCAGGAAAGUUGUAUAACCUUCAGUCAGUUUAUAAUUCUUUGGCUGUAAAUAUGUGCAUAUGCUGUUUGUCAACAUUGUGGAAUCACACCAAUACAGUACAUUGGGGAUGGCUAGUAUUCCAGAAAAUGACAUGUUAUUACGAUUAAGGAUGGCAUCUAUCUAAGAAAAUGUCAUGCUAGUUUAAUAUUUUUAAAUAUGGAAAUGAGCUGAGCUUCAGGGUCUGAAGAGAUCAGUUUGAAUUUUGGAACGAUGGCAUCCUUGUUUUCAUAUGAGUCUAUUUUGUUUGCUGUAUUUAAAUUUCCCAAUGAGAGCAGACUUGUAACCAAAAUGUUGGCAGAUGGCUUAGGAGAGAGGGGUAGGGGUAAGCCAAAGAUUUCAAUAUUUCAUUAAGAUAGGUGGGUUCAAAAGCAUAUGACAUGGCUUGAUAGUUCGAUUUAACAAUAAAUAUUGUUUUGAUUGAAAUGAAUGAUGGAAGCAUCCUUAAAUUUGACCCAAGUAGGGGAUAAGGUGCAGCAAAAUGGUGAUAUUAGAAAAGAUAAAACUAGUAUCAUAGGCCAGGUUACAAGUGUAGGCAUGGAGCCACUUAGAUGUUAUCCACCUGAACCUCCUUGAAGAAAAUGCUGCCCCUUCUCUUAGCAGCCUCCAUCUUGGGCUGACGGUCCUCGUUAAUAUAAGGAAAAGAAUUGCUAUUUCUCCAGUGGGUUGGGGACUAAAUAGUGAUGUAGUUGAGGAAAGUGGCUUCUUUCAAUGUAGGAAACAUGUCCUGGGUCAUUUUCUUGUGUUUGUACAUGUAAAACAUCAGCCUUUUUCAAUAAUGUCAGCUUUAUACUCAUUAUAAAAUUCUACACUAAAAGUUUAGGGACUUAAUAGUUCAUAGUGGUCGAGGACCGACGAGGUUACCCUUAAUAAGGAAACCUGCCUUAGGUCCUUUUUUUGUGGUCUUUUGCAAGUGAAAUGCCAAAUUAAUGUUCUUUGCACAAAUCCAUGCAACACUUUUCUUAUCUUCUGUUUAUUUUCUCACAAUCCUUGGAAAUUACCGAUGGAUCAAGAGAGUGGAAUCAUUCUCUUUCUGUUAUAGUCCUCCUCUCCUUUAGGUUUUGAAGUGCCUUUGCUGUCCAGGCCAGGUGAUAGGGCCAUGGUUUUGUAACAAUAAUGGAUGGAAACACUCGUGAAGGUAUACCAUUCACUGAGGCCUCAAAGCAUCGCUUGAAUGCUUAUGGUUGGUUUUUAUGCAAAUUGUGACCACAUUAUACAUGAGCCCAUUAACUAUUUACUUGUCCUUUUUAACACACAUGUCAUGGGUGUUUGAUGAAACUCAUGCCAUGCAGGUUCAUGGCUGUGCAUGUUACUCUCUUGUCUUAUAUAUGUGUAUCAAAUAUAUCAAAUAUUGUGAGAAAAGCCCAAACAUCCUAGAUCAGGCAAUUCAAUCCAUUAUAGGCAAAUGGGAAAAUACUUGGGUUGGUUUAGAUUUUAUAUGUGUGGAUUGGUUAUGAUGGAAUCACUGUUCCCUCCUAGUCUACUGUAUGGCUUCAUAAGCAUGUUCAAACCCACUUGUGUCUGGCAUCACUUAUACUGUAAAGAAAACGGUAUAGUUACUGGUCUCAGCAGAUUCCGUGUAGAAAAUUCUAUUAAUGUCAUUAUUGUAGGUUUUUACGUCAAGAAGGUAUUCUUUGUUAUAAUCCAUGCAUAUUGCUGUUGCAUGCCCUGUAUCAAUUGUAGACUGUUCGCUAUAAUCCCUUUUGUUGCUGAAGUAAAGGGCAGCAGGACUCGAUAUUCUGUCAAAAAUUUGACAGAUUGGAUACCAGAUGGUUGACCUCUGAAAGAGUAAAAAAAGUGGUAAGCACUACUGUGUUAACAUGUGCAUCUGCACUUUUGUAGUGAUAUUUUGCUAUGCUUGAUUUAUGUACAUGGCCUGUUAUGGCCUUGGUGUGUGAUGUAUUCAUUUUGGGCUUCCACUAGUCUGAAGAGGAAAAAACAGGCCUCACCUGUUUUUGAGGGGACCACAGACCUGACCGUGAAACACAAACUCAUGAGUUACUUGCAUGUACAAACAGUAGAUUAUCUCAUCAUGAAUAAACAUGUGCUUACCCGCAAGUUCUUUAUACGAUACAUAUUAUGCUGCUAAAGAUAUGUAUAUUUGCAUGCAUAUGGCAUGUUUAAUGAGUAAGCUCUGGUAUAACUUUAAAAGGAAAACAAUGUUUAAUGAGUCAAAACAGCCAUAAACAUACUGAAAUAAUAGUGCAACUUUUACUACAAAUCCAACAUGAGAAGCCAUUGACCUGGCUUUUUCUUUAGUUGUUGUAUGUUUUCUCCAUUCUGUUGGUCAUCUCUGCAUGCUGUAUUGGUUGUACUUCCUGGUUUUGUGAUCUGUCCAUGCAAAUCAGAGUAUAGGAAUGCAUUAGUCUAUAUAAGUCUCUGCUAGCCAUUUUUGAGGAAAAUCAAGAAAAUGUCUAAUUUUAUUUUUGAUCAUAAAUACUGUUUAGUGGGAUGGGAGGAAUUUGUAAAUAACUAGAUGCCUGGAACCUAAGCUGGCAGUGUAGUAAAAAUUUAUGACUGUCCAUCUGGGAAAGCUGAUGACUUAAAAACAUUGCAUCAUUGGUAUCCUAUUUUUUUUUAAUCAUCAGAACCUGUAGUUUUAAAAGAUGUGUUAUAGACUUUGAAGCUUAUAUAAUAAAUUUCAUGAUAUUUCAUACCUGAUGAAACAGCAAUUCUUUCUCCAGCAAGCUUCCUGGCAAGACUUGGAAUACACCCGCUUAGUUGAGUUUCCUUUUUUGUGGGUAGCCAGGUGGGGGUUUUCCAUGAAUUGAUCCUUCAAAGCCAGGAGGCAUUUCAGGAUCUGAGUUUGGUUCAUCAUGGAUUUGGCUAUCCACCAUUUGAACCCUCCGAUUACCUUCAGAUCGAAGGUGUAGCAGACUUUCAGCGGCAUCUAUAACAGCAGCAUCAAUAAGAUGAGGUGGUUGUUCCUCUUGCUGGAUGCUUUCUUCCUUUGGUUUUAUGUGCCGAAAGAGACCCCACAGGAAUAUAUUGUUCUUGCGUUCAGAUUUCAGUGCCACUGCACAUUUGUCAUUAGCACAAUUAAUAAUUUGAAACAAUAAGUUAGUUGCGGGACAAGAUCUCUGCAAUUUAUAAUUGUUUGUGAACUUAACUGCAUCAUACUGCAUUAAAGGAAAAAAUAACUAACUUCCAACA